rnacentral:rRNA from 1 species
UACGGAGGGUGCGAGCGUUGUCCGGAAUCACUGGGCGGAAAGGGCGCGUAGGCGGCCGUGGAAGUCACUUGUGAAAUCCCGGGGCUCAACUCCGGGGCUGCAGGUGAGACUGCGUGGCUAGAGCACGGUAGAGGCGAGUGGAAUUCCCGGUGUAGCGGUGGAAUGCGUAGAUAUCGGGAAGAACACCGGUGGCGAAGGCGGCUCGCUGGGCCGUUGCUGACGCUGAGGCGCGAAAGCGUGGGGAGCAAACAGG